rnacentral:rRNA from 1 species
GACGUAGGGCGCGAGCGUUGUCCGGAUUUAUUGGGCGUAAAGAGCUCGUAGGCGGCUUGUCGCGUCGACUGUGAAAUCCCGAGGCUCAACCUCGGGUCUGCAGUCGAUACGGGCAAACUGGAGUGUUGGCAGGGGAGACUGGAAUUCCUGGUGUAGCGGUGAAAUGCGCAGAUAUCAGGAGGAACACCGGUGGCGAAGGCGGGUCUCUGGGCAACAACUGACGCUGGAGGAGCGAAAGCGUGGGGAGCGAACAGG